AUGGCAGCCACCACGGGCUCGGGAGUAAAAGUCCCUUGCAAUUUCCAACUGUUGGAAGAACUUGAAGAAGGCCAGAAAGGAGUAGGAGAUGGCACAGUUAGCUGGGGUCUAGAAGAUGACGAAGACAUGACACUUACAAGAUGGACAGGGAUGAUAAUUGGGCCUCCAAGAACAAUUUAUGAAAACCGAAUAUACAGCCUUAAAAUAGAAUGUGGACCUAAAAACCCAGAAGCACCCCCCUUUGUAAGAUUUGUAACAAAAAUUAAUAUGAAUGGAGUUAAUAGUUCUAAUGGACUGGUGGACCCAAGAGCCAUACCAGUGCUAGCAAAAUGGCAGAAUUCAUAGCAUCAAAGUUGUCCUGCAAGAGCUUUGGCACCUAAUGAUGUCUAAAGAAAAUAUGAAACUCUCUCAGCCGCCUGAAGGACAGUGUUACAGCAAUUAAUCAAAAAGAAAAACCACAGGCCCUUCCCUUCCCCCCCAUUUGAUUUAAGCAGUCUUCAUUUUCCACAGUAGUAAAUUUUCUAGAUACAUCUUUUAGACCUCAAAGUACUGGAAAGGAAGCUCCCAUUCAAAGGAAAUUUAUCUUAAGAUGCUGUAAAUGAUACUAACUUUUUGUCCAUUUGAAAUAUAUAAGUUGUGCUAUAACAAAUCAUCCUGUCAAGUGUAACCACUGUCCACGUAGUUGAACUUCUGGGAUCAAGAAAGUCUAUUUAAAUUGAUUCCCAUCAUAACUGGUGGGGCACAUCUAACUUAACUGUGAAAAGACACAUCACACAAUCACCUUGCUGCUGAUUACACGGCCUGGGGUCUCUGCCUUCUCUCCUUACCCUCCUGCCUCCCACCCUCCCUGCAACAACAGCCCUCUAGCCUGGAGGGCUUGUUAGAGUAGAUGUGAAGGUUUCAGGUCGCAGCCUGUGGGACUACUGCUGGGUGUGUGGGGUGCUUUGCCUGUACCCCUGGUUUCUUUAAGUCUUAAAUGAUGCCCCUUCCAAGCCAUCAUCCUGUCCCUACGCUCCUCCACUCCUGCCCUUGGCCGAAGCAUAGAUUGUAACCCCUCCGCUCCCCUCUGAGAUUGGCCUUCGGUGAGGAAUUCAGGACUUUCCCCAUAUCUUCUCUCCCCCACCUUUAUUGAGGGGUGCUGCUUUUUCUUCCCUCCUCCUGAAGUUCCUUUUUGCCCCAUCACCACCCAACACCUUCCAUGACACUUCCUUGCUUUGGCCAGAAGCCACGAGGUAAAGUUGGAAAGAGUGUCUGACCGCCCUUGUUUAGUUUCAGAACCAUACUUUUUCACUCUCCACCAGCCUGGGAAAUGAAUAUUGGGUCCUCAGCCCUGCCACCCUCUGCUGUCAUCAGCUGAUGCGUUGUUUUUAGCUCAGGUUUUGAUAAGGUGAAAAGAAUAGUCACCAGGGCCACUCAGACCUGCCAGCUCUCAGAGUCCUUGGUGGUUGAACUCGGAGAAAGACCACGUGAAGACACGUGUAAGCACACAUGAUCCCUCUGAAUUGUUUUACUUUACUGUAAUUGCUUUUGCUUUUAAAAAUUGAAGAAGUUUUAAACAGGGCUUUCAUUUGGCCAUCCUUGCAAUCCAUUGGGGUCUAGUUUGGAAUCUGACAACUGGAACAAAAAGAACCUUGAAUCCAGUGCAUGCCUUGGUUUUGGUGCUGCUGCUUCUCAAGAUCCUCAGCAGGGAUUAAGAAAGAACCCGGUGUGCACAGCAGAUCCCCGAAAUUGGCGCAUUUGACCUCCUGGCAAAUUGCUGCGUCUUUCCACUUUCUGUUCAGGACCACUAAAUGCUGAAAUGUGGAUGCAUACCGAAAUAAAAGCAAUUCAUUGUGUA